CUGAGAGGCUGGGGAGUGUCCUGAGCAUAGGGAACCUCGAAGCCCGCCCCCACAGUGACGCACUUCCCCCAACAAGGCCACACCCACUCCAACAAAGCCACGCCUCCUAAUCGUGCCACUCCCUAUGAGAUGAUGGGGGCCAGUGACAUUCAAACCACCCCACCAUACAAGUACAGCAAUAGCUUUGUCCAGUUUUCACUUCAGACUUAGUAAUUAGGAGGAAGAAUGAGCAAGCAACUUGACCUUUCAGGGAAGAGCAACUUCACGAACCUUCCACACGCUGGAGAGUGUCGAACUCUCAUCAACAAGGAGAUUCUAAAAGCAAGAAGAGUCCUUUUCUUUUCAGUAUCACCUGGAGUAGCUGCUCCUGCUGUGGACAGUUCCAGAUACCACUCUGGAAAGCCAGGCAUGUCUGCACUCAACAGGAACUGUUCCUAGGUAACCGUGGAGGAUGGCAGGUCUGAGAUCUGACGGUUCAUGUCCGUGGAAACACCACAACAGCGGGUUACUGACAGCAUGCAUUCAGUGUUUGAACACAACAGGAAACAUUCA